AUAGAAAAAAGGGUAAACUUAUUAAAGGCAUAAGGGUGGACGACCAACUUUUAUACUAUAGAAAUACAGUGAAUUUGAGCUUGAGACAAUUGAAAUGUUAGUAAGAUGGUGGAGAUGGAAGCAGCUGUGGCGGGUUGGCUGCAAUAUGUUGAAAUAGCUAGCUAUUAUAUUUAAAAAAAUAUGUCAUAUAUUUUGAGUAUGUAAAAUGCUAGUUAAAGAUUAUAUAUAUAAUAUUAUUAUUAUGCAA